GCGACUGUGGCGGAAUAGGCAGACGCGCACGUUUGAGGGGCGUGUGGGCAACCGUACCGGUUCAAGUCCGGUCAGUCGCACCA
rnacentral:tRNA from 2 species